ACGAAGGUCUGCAUCAUAGC
rnacentral:miRNA from 1 species